ensembl:lncRNA
UGUGGAGCAGGCUGUGGGCAGGGAAGGGAGGUGAGAUGCACCAGCUCAGUCCACCAUCACUGGGAAUCCACUCCAAGCACGGGAAAGCAGCCAGCCAGGCAGAGCUGCUCCCCGGGACUGAGGAAGGGCUCCCAUUCUGUCUUUGUAGAUUCCUGGCACUGGGUCUGGAACGAUUGUGUCCUGUUCGCUGUGCGAUGUUCUCCAUCCUCUGCACAAAAGAAGCCAGAAGAGGGAUCAGACCUCCUGGAACUGGAGUUACAGAUGGUUGUGAGUCACCAUGUCGGGGCUGGGAACUGAACCCAGAUCCUCUGGAAGAGCGUCCAGUGUUCUUAACUGCUGAGCCACCUCUCUGGCCCCUUCGCAGGUCUGCAGCCCACAGAACGGUGCCAUCCACAUCCAGGGACAAUCUCCCUACCUCAGUUAACCCGCUCUAGAAGCCCCCUCACAGACACGCACUGAGGCUGGUGCCCUAGGUGAGUCUAGACGCUGUCAAGCUGACCAUGGAUAGUAACAAAGACAGAGCCCCGCCCUCAAGACUUCCUGUACUGGCUUUAAUUAGCUCCUAAAGGGAUUGCCU